AUUGAACGCUGGCGGCAUGCCUUACACAUGCAAGUCGAACGGUAACAGCACUUCGGUGGCUGACGAGUGGCGAACGGGUGAGUAAUACAUCGGAACGUGCCCGAGAGUGGGGGAUAACGCAGCGAAAGCUGUGCUAAUACCGCAUACGAUCUACGGAUGAAAGCAGGGGAUUCGCAAGGACCUUGCGCUCAUGGAGCGGCCGAUGGCAGAUUAGGUAGUUGGUGGGAUAAAAGCUUACCAAGCCGACGAUCUGUAGCUGGUCUGAGAGGACGACCAGCCACACUGGGACUGAGACACGGCCCAGACUCCUACGGGAGGCAGCAGUGGGGAAUUUUGGACAAUGGGCGAAAGCCUGAUCCAGCCAUGCCGCGUGGGUGAAGAAGGCCUCGGUGUAAGCCUUUGUCGGUAAGAAAGACACGGAUAAUACCUACGUCGUGAUGACGGUACCGGAA
rnacentral:rRNA from 1 species